UUUUAUUCUUUCCUUGACCCCCGCUCUCUCUCCCCUCUUAUUUCAUCCCAAAGCUUUAUCUCUCAAAUUUUCCCAGGAUUCGCUCUCUCCGCCGUCUUGCGACCGAAGGAUCUCCAAUCCGUGCACAGCCCUUCCAUUAUCGACGAUGCCGCAUCCGUGCCUUCCCUCUCGUCGAGGGAUACCGCGGUUUCGCCUCUCGCACAUCGAUCCGUUGGCAAACGAGGAACUUUUACCCAAUGAAGUAGUCUGCAUAGGUUGCUGCACUAACUGCUCAAGAUCUUGUGCAGAAUCCUGUGAUUUCACUAGUUAUGUAUCUAAUGAAAAAAAAAAUUCUUCUGGACAUGUAUUAUCUGAACAUGGAUCAACAAAAUGUGUUAGUGACACAAAUGAUUUCUUCCCUCACAAUCAUGCUGUCACGUGCUCAUCAUGUUGGUGUUCAUAUGAUGGUAGUGGUCCCUCCUGUUUGCACGAACAAGUGGAUGUAGGCCCUUAUGUUGCAAUGGAAGGAAGUUCUCAAUCUUUUUCUAAUAUCUGUGAGCUACCCUUGCCUGAUGGUACUGGUGUUACACUUACCCAGAACAGUUGUGAUAGAUAUGCUCAAUUUUCAAUCAGUGGAUGGAUGUAUGUUAAUCAAAAUGGCCAUAUGUGUGGACCGUACAGUCAAGAACAGCUUAUUGAGGGCUUAUCAUCUGGAUUCUUGCCUGAAGAACUUCCCGUUUAUCCUGUUAUAAAUGGAAGCAUCAGUACUUCAGUAACCCUGAAAUAUUUGAAACAGUUUUCAAGUCCAAGAUAUUACCCAUCAAGUGUAGAUGCCACGGCAAGAGAUGAAAAUUCUCAGUUGGCAGGAAAGGAUCCAGUUAGUUAUUUCUCAUCAAGAACAGUACAUGAUGCAACAGUUACUGCUUCUCACGGUUCUGGACAGGGAAAAAGCAACAUUGGAAUGACCAAGUCUACAUCAUUGUUGAUGAGGUCACUUUCAAGUGAAGAGAGCUGCUGGAUGUUCGAGGAUAAGGAAGGCAUGAAACAUGGGCCACAUUCGCUUGCUGAACUGUGUUAUUGGCAUCACAACAGUUAUCUUGAAGAUUCAUUAAUGAUCUACCAUGUGGAUAAUAGGUUGGGGCCAUUUUCUCUUGCCAUUUUAGUUGAAGAAUGGAGCAGAAUUAACUGUGAGAAUAUAUCUGAAAAUGAUAUUAAGAGCGAGGGUGAUGAUGCUGAAUUAGACAAUUCUUUCACGAGUCUAUUGUUUAAUUCAUCAGAAGAAGUCUCAAUUCAGCUGCACUCUGCCAUAAUGAAAGCAGCUCGUCGAGUCCUACUGGAUGAAAUAUUUAGCACUAUCAUACCUGAGUUUAUCUCAACGAAGAAAGCUCAACGGCAUCUGAGGGCUGAGUCUAUUGAUAAGAAUGCUAAAACCUAUGAGCUAUCGAAAGGGAAGGAACAACCUCCUCUUAACACGCUACAAGAAGUCAAUUCUUCACAGCAAACAUGUUCUAUAAUUCUCGACAUCCAUGAAAACAUCAAAGAAGUGUUAUUAGAAACUAGCAAAUUUUGUUACUAUGACUGUAUGAAAGUUUUGUGGGACUCAGUCUUGUAUGAUCAUGUAAUGGAGUAUUGUGGUGCAUGGCUCAAGAAAAAGCAAUGGUCUGGCUUACAAUGUUCAUCCUUAAUUGUUAAUUCUGAGGUGCAGGAUCCAGAUCAGAUGGAUAUGGUGCUAAAGAAUGCUGAUAAAGUCGUGGAGUUGGAACCAGUAUCUUCGAGACAUGAUAUGGAUUUCCCUCCGGGAUUUGGACCUAACAUAGGGACCCUGGAUACCUGUGUUCAGUCAUCUUUGACUUCAGAAGGCAGUUGUCUAGUGAAGGAAGUGGAUGUGACAAAGGAUUCCACUUCCUUAUUUGGAACUCUGACGAUUAUCCUGGGAAGUUUGGAAAAUCAAUUAUUUGUGUCAGCCAAGGUAUCUUUAUUUCAAUUUUUUGAAGCUGUCAUCAAAGAUGAAUUGACAGAUUUACUUUGUUCAGCAGUUGAGGACAAUUCAAGCACUGUACAGGGCAUGAUCAAUUUGACCGAAAACCAUGAUGAGUCUCCAUCUAGCUCAGUUGAUAUGACUACUGGUGCAGUGACAAAGCCUUAUGAAUCAACUGUAGCUUCUGAACAGUUAUGCAAUGCUUUUGAGCUGUUGAACUCACCAAAUACCUCCAGUUUUUAUGAUGAUAAGUCGGAUGUCUUUUUGGGUGAACCACCACCUCCUGGUCUGGAUGACUGUUCCCAUUUGGUUCUUGAUCAGAAAGCUAAAUUCCGGCCUGGAAAGACAACUGAAUAUAUUCCUGUCAUUAAUAAAUAUUUGGCUUUAGCUGUUUUUCGUCAAAAGCUUCAUGAACAAGUUCUUAACGCGUGGAAGCUCUUUUACUACAGCAAUUCAUUUUGCAAACAUUUCCUUUCAUGUGAGGCUUUGAGAAAAUUUCAAGUAAAUGUCACUGACAUGAAAGGACAACGUCAGAAAAACUUUGUCUUGGGUCAAACUUCUAAUGAUGGACCAGAUGAUACCUCUGCUCCAUCUGCCGUUUUAGAGAAACACAAAGAAAGAUCCAGGGCUUCUAACAGUUUAGUGUUAAUUGAUGAAUCUUUGAGGACUGGAAAAUAUAAAUAUUUCCGUAAGAAAAAAUUUGGCAAGAAAAUAUCUGAGCCCCUAGCAACUUCAAGUUGUUCUGGGUUUCCUAAGCAACCUAUGGACACUCUGCAAGUGCAAAAGAAGGAAAAAUCAAUGUCAGGGCCUCUAGUUAAAAAGACUGCACACAAGUCAAGUUCUCGUGAAUUAGAAAGUCACAAUAUUGAUCAUCAGUGCAAACCGUCAGUGCUAGCUUUGAACGAGAAAGAAUCAUCUGAAUCUUGCAGUGUACCAAGAAAAAGGCGGAGAUUGAGGAAGGCUUACGAGUGUCAGAAAGAAUCAUCCGCACCUCCUUGUAGUUCUGGAUUGAAUUUUAUGAAUGAUGCAUAUUCUAAUGCUGAUGAUUUACUUGGCAUUGCUAAAUUUGGUUUUCUUGGUCGGAAGCAUGAGGCAGAUGAUUGUAAAGAAUCAUCAGAUCUUUGUGACAUACAGAAUGUUUGUGAUAUACCAAGAAAAAAGCAGAAGUUAAAGAAAGCUGCUCAUAGGAUCCGUGAGGAGGCUUGUUCACUCUCGUCCCAUGCUGAAUUGACAACAACUGAUACAUAUAAUAUUGCUGAUGAUUGCUAUAUGGUUCAAGGGAUUUCCACUGGUAAUGGAAAAGACAGGUUGGAUGCUAGCUUAGUUUUAGAGCAGGAUUCUGACAUGAACAACAAAGUUGAUGACACUGAUCAGUUUAGUUUGAGCAUACAGGAAGGACAAAAAAGACUGUCCAUUUCUAAUGCUAAUGCAAACUUAGCAAGAAGAAAAUCUCAGCUUAAGAGGAAGGUUGAGUUGAAUGAACUACCACCUCCUAAAAGUUCAAAAAUAUCAUCUAUACGGUCAGAGAAGAUAUCAAAGAAAAAACACGUGGCAAAGAAGAAGGUUAAAGCUACAUUACCAUGCCCAAAGUCAGAUGGUUGUGCUCGGUGUUCAAUCAAUGGGUGGGACUGGCAUAAGUGGUCAAAAACUGCACUUCCAGCUGACAGGGCACGUGUGAGAGGAAUUCGUAACCAAAAAUAUUCAUUAAAUUUUCAUAUUAAUGCUCCACAUAAUAUAAAUCCCAAGGGCCCUUCUGCAAGGACAAAUAGGGUUAAAUAUCGGAAUCUUCUUGCUGCUGCUGAGGGUACUGAUAUAUUGAAAGUCACUCAGUUGAAGGCAAGAAAGAAACGACUGCGGUUUCAAAGGAGCAAAAUACAUGAUUGGGGUCUGGUUGCUCUUGAGCCAAUUGAUGCAGAAGAUUUUGUCAUUGAAUAUGUAGGGGAAUUGAUCCGUCGUCGAAUAUCUGAUAUACGUGAGCACCUAUAUGAAAGGAUGGGAAUCGGCAGUAGUUAUCUCUUUAGAUUGGAUGAUGGUUAUGUGGUUGAUGCAACCAAACGUGGCGGAUUAGCAAGGUUUAUAAAUCAUUCCUGUGAGCCAAACUGUUAUACAAAAGUUAUUACCGUUGAGGGUCAGAAAAAGAUUUUUAUUUAUGCAAAGCGACAUAUAUCAGCUGGUGAAGAAGUAACAUACAAUUACAAAUUUCCUCUAGAAGAACAAAAGAUUCCGUGCAAUUGUGGUUCUCAAAGGUGUCGAGGAUCCAUGAACUGAAAAAAGUUGCUAUUCAUGGGCUUCGUGCCUGUUACUGGUAGUAGCAUUAUUUAUCAUUAGCUUCAAAGGUAUCAAACUGUAAUUUGAUCAUUACCUCCCUGAUAUUUGUCACCUCAACAGGCAACAUGGAUGAAGUAGAAGUUAACACUUUUGGAUGGCGACGCAAAAUACUAGCUCGAUUUCUUCGCUAAUUGCACACAAGUUUCUGCAUCAAGAAUUAUACGGAAGAUUGGCUUAAUAUGUACCUUAAAGGCCGUAGAUGAAACUCAUCUAUUCAUCAACUAUGGGCUGAUUUCCAUUGUCCUCGGUUAUGCAAGCAAAACAUGAUGCUCGAAGUUGGCUCAUGGUUACCGUGGUGUAUCUUCAACUUCUUCCAUUGUAUUCAUACGAAAGGGAGGUAUGGAAAUUUGUUCUGGCGAGAUUACAAAUUCUUUUUGUGCGUGGUAUGUUCUUCAUUCCAAAUUUGUCCGUAUUUGAUCGUAAUUGAUAAACCAGAUUUAAACUUCGAAAGAGAUGUCAUGGCCUGCCGUCCCUGUGUUUGCUUUUAGUGAGUGUUGGAUCGAGGAUAAGGUAAAGUAGGCUUCUACGAGCCACCGAAAGUCAAAACAAUGUGAUUGGGUAUAAGGCCGAUGAGCUCCAGAUACAUAAAUUUUGACAAUAAUUUUUAGUACAUGUUUUUACAAAUGUAGUCCGAACUUUCAUUUUUCAUAAAUCUAUAUAUAACAAUACAUCCCAUGUUAUGGUCCACAAAACUUUUUUCCUUCCUAAUUGACGAAUUCAUUAUUAAUCAUGUAACAUUUGUUAGUGAAUAAGUAUGACAUUUCAUUUCUUUCUCGAGUUUAUUUAACUAAUCAAGAUUUUUAAAUGGUUCAAGAACUGCCACCGGUUAUUUAUUUUGUAUGCCAUUUGGUUCCCGUUAGCUUCUUUAAACAACAAGCAUAUUCAACUUUGACAAUAGAUGCAAUUGUGACAAAAUUAUGCCAUAGAUUUUUAAUAUGAAAGUUCGGACUAGAUUUGAUCAAAAACAUCCAAAUUUUAGUUAUUUUUUCUUCAACAAACUAACAAAUAUUAUAAAGCUUGUACUACUGCCUUCAAAGCUACUUUACCCCAAGAGCAAGCAACUAACUUUUUAACUGUAAAUCAGAAUGGCCUCUUGUUAGGCUUUCUUCUUGCAGUUGGCUCUGGAACAGCUUUACUGGUGAGUUUCUUCGGUUAGUUUGCACUCUUAUUAUUCAUGCCCCUAUUGCUAAACCUAGUUUCAUCCGUUUGUUUAACAUCUAUCUUUCGUUGGUAUAUGCGAUAGAAAAAAAGUCCUUUAUCAUCUCACUUCUGUUUAAGGAUUUAUGCAACAACAAAGUUUAUAGACUGAUGGAAUCGCACAUAUAUAAAAAUUUAUAUUCUGAUAUAAUAUUGUAAAUGAUGGAAUAAGAUUUAUGUAAUUGGUUGAGAUUAACACAGCUUGACAAUCUUAUCCUAUCAAUAUCAAGGAGAUGCUUUGCGAUGAUGUGAAAUCCUGAAAACUUUGUCUUGACUCGAAGGAAUACUCAGUCGUCAACUUCUUGGACAAAGCUGGAGGCUAUUUGUUGACGAGAAGUUAGUCGAACAUAUUAUUUCCAGGUAGCGAAUCCAGAAGAGAGUCUCUCUCCUAAUAUUUGGCAAAGCAACAAUAUCGGUACAAGCAUGUGGUCUGCAUGGACCAGUGAAAUUGUGUUUUCUUUUAUAUUAACUUAGAUGAUUGAAAAGGAAAGGGAAAAAAAAGUAUUUAACGUGUGUGUGUAUAUAUAUCAACUUGAUGAUUGACUGCAAGACCCAGAGAAAAGAAAAUUUU